UACGGGGGGGGGCAAGCGUUGUUCGGAAUUACUGGGCGUAAAGGGCUCGUAGGCGGCCAACUAAGUCGGACGUGAAAUCCCUCGGCUUAACCGGGGAACUGCGUCCGAUACUGGAUGGCUAGAGUUCGGGAGAGGGAUGCGGAAUUCCAGGUGUAGCGGUGAAAUGCGUAGAUAUCUGGAGGAACACCGGUGGCGAAGGCGGCAUCCUGGACCGACACUGACGCUGAGGAGCGAAAGCCAGGGGAGCAAACGGGG
rnacentral:rRNA from 1 species